GUACUGUUAAUUUGAACUCUCGAAUGCCACGUGUCCAACGAGGGUAGAGUCGUAGUUCUGUGUCUCAAUUGAUUGUUGAUUGUCGAUUGUCACAACACUUUACAGAAACCCAGCUAUUCAUUUCAAGCCUUUUCCCUUUUGAUCUCUUCGAUCCCCUUUCUUGAUUUCACGUCUCCUUUUGCUUCUCUCGUCUCUCCUCAAGAGG
rnacentral:lncRNA from 1 species